GACGAACGCUGGCGGCGUGCUUAACACAUGCAAGUCGAACGGAAAGGCCCUGCUUUUGUGGGGUGCUCGAGUGGCGAACGGGUGAGUAACACGUGAGUAACCUGCCCUUGACUUUGGGAUAACUUCAGGAAACUGGGGCUAAUACCGGAUAGGAGCUCCUGCUGCAUGGUGGGGGUUGGAAAGUUUCGGCGGUUGGGGAUGGACUCGCGGCUUAUCAGCUUGUUGGUGGGGUAGUGGCUUACCAAGGCUUUGACGGGUAGCCGGCCUGAGAGUGUGACCGGCCACAUUGGGACUGAGAUACGGCCCAGACUCCUACGGGAGGCAGCAGUGGGGAAUAUUGCACAAUGGGCGGAAGCCUGAUGCAGCAACGCCGCGUGCGGGAUUACGGCCUUCGGGUUGUAUACCGCUUUCGCCUGUGACGAAGCGUUAGUGACGGUAAUGGGUAUAGAAGCACCGGCUAACUACGUG
rnacentral:rRNA from 1 species